GGUAUUUAUUCAAGAGAACUGAAAACAAGCUUCAUGUGAAUGCUUCAUGGUAUGAAAGGGAAGAUACAAAGAAAGCCAUGGACCCAAAUACUCAAGCAAGUAAUUUAAAAGGAGAAUUAAUCUUGAGUUCAAUCACUGGAAGUACCUCUGCCUCUGAAAUGUGAUGAAGAGCGGGAAGCAGAUGAACAAAAUGGGACCUGCAGGAAUGCAAUGGGGUGCCUUGGCACAGGAAGCCCUGCUGGAAUUACAUUUCCUGGAUUUCAGUUUGAACCAGAACAUUCCUCAGAUCUACUCAUUUUGGUUCUGAUGGAGCAACUUUUUGAAGUGGAAAUUCUGAAUCCUUACCUCUGACCUGUUAUGAGACUCAAUGACCCACUCCUGAAUUCCUUGGAAGGCUUACUUUAAAAUGUAAAUGAU